GUGUCUUCCGGGAAAGGAUACAACUCCAGGAGUCGACUUGCAGUUGUCGCAGCAGCAUCUCCGCUGGGCCCAGGGAGAAGUGGCACCUGCUCUUCCUGAGGAAGGACAGCUGCCUCUUCAGCUGACAUUCCUGAUACUACAGGGCUCCCUGAGCAGGAGUUGCCUGGAGCAGCCUCACUGCAGGCAUCCUGUAGGCCACUCUCAGGAGGGGAGUUGUCGUGGUCAUCCUCAGUCGCCAAACUCUGAGAGCUAGCCUGGGCAUCUGCGGCUUGAGGCCUAUGCUGCCCAUCCUUGCUGCCUUCAUCAACCCCUAUACUGCCACUUGCGUCGUCCUCACCAGGAUCCUGCAUGGCAAUUAUGACUUUCCACUCAGCGACCCCAGCUCAAGCAGCUGUACCACUCAGGCUCAGCUAUGGAGGUGAGGUGGGGGUUACAACCCGCUAACACCCAUCACACCACUUGCGUGCGCACUGCGCUUGAGCAAGUGGCUUGUACUGAUGGAACUUUUCAAUGUACAAUUCCCUCAAGUUUCUCCACCAUCGAGGGUGGGACACAGAAAGUCUGAAGCUUCAGGAGCUCACUGUGGCAGCAGUAGUGCAUGGUGCUGCAAGAGCACCUGCGCGAGCACGGCCAGCCUGUCCCCAGGAUAAACAUAGCUGUUGGGACCCUGAGAGAUGGUUCCGGAGGCUUACAAGAUACCUUGGUGCUGCCGCUUAUCUACGUCGGACUGACCACACCUCAAAUUUCAACACCAGCCUCGAUGGACAAAAUAAGAAUUUCAGCACCAGCCUCGAUGGACAGAAAAUUUCAUCACCAGCCUAAAUGGACAGAAAAUUUUAGCACCAGCCUCGAUGAAUAGUAAUUUUCAGCACCAGCCUCAAUGGAUAGCAAAUUUCAGCAACAGCCUCGGUGGACAGCAAACAAGACUAGAGUUUCUACCGCCCCUUCUUAGGGUGAAGACCAAAAUCAAAAGGGAUAAGAGGUUCACGAUCAGAUAUAUC